GACGAACGCUGGCGGCGCGCCUAACACAUGCAAGUCGAACGGAGUUUCCCCUUCGGGGGGAGGCUUAGUGGCGGACGGGUGGAGUAACACGUGAGGAACCUGCCUUUGAGAGCGGGAUACCGUCUGGAAACGGACGUUAAUACCGCAUAAUGCAGCGAGGCCACAUGGCCAUGCUGCCAAAGAUUUAUCGCUCAAAGAUGGCCUCGCGCCUGAUUAGAUAGUUGGCGGGGUAACGGCCCACCAAGUCUGCGAUCAGUAGCCGGACUGAGAGGUCGAACGGCCACAUUGGGACUGAGAUACGGCCCAGACUCCUACGGGAGGCAGCAGUGGGGGAUAUUGCACAAUGGGCGAAAGCCUGAUGCAGCGACGCCGCGUGAGGGAAGACGGUUUUCGGAUUGUAAACCUCUGUCUUCGGGGACGAAACAAGACGGUACCCGAGGAGGAAGCCACGGCUAACUACGUGCCAGCAGCCGCGGU
rnacentral:rRNA from 1 species